rnacentral:RNase_P_RNA from 1 species
CCGCUUCGCUGCCGUCCCUUUCGGGGGAGACAGGUGAAGGGGAGGAAAGUCCGGGCUCCAUAGGGCAGGGUGCCAGGUAACGCCUGGGAGGCGCAAGCCUACGACAAGUGCAACAGAGAGCAAACCGCCGAUGGCCCACGCAAGUGGGAUCAGGUAAGGGUGAAAGGGUGCGGUAAGAGCGCACCGCGCGGCUGGCAACAGUCCGUGGCACGGUAAACUCCACCCGGAGCAAGGCCAAAUAGGGGUUCACAUGGUACGGCCCGUACU